UCCUACGGGAGAAAGGGGGCUUCGGCUCCCGCUAUCGGAUGAGCCUAUGUCGGAUUAGCUGGUUGGUGAGGUAAAGGCUCACCAAGGCGACGAUCCGUAGCUGGUCUGAGAGGAUGAUCAGCCACAUCGGGACUGAGACACGGCCCGAACUCCUACGGGAGGCAGCAGUGGGGAAUAUUGGACAAUGGGGGCAACCCUGAUCCAGCCAUGCCGCGUGUGUGAAGAAGGCCCUUGGGUUGUAAAGCACUUUCAGUGAGGAAGAACGCCUGGUGGUUAAUACCCAUCAGGAAAGACAUCACU
rnacentral:rRNA from 1 species